CAGCCGCCGCGGGAAUACGGAGGGUGCAAGCGUUAAUCGGAAUUACUGGGCGUAAAGCGUGCGUAGGCGGCUUUUUAAGUCGGAUGUGAAAUCCCUGAGCUUAACUUAGGAAUUGCAUUCGAUACUGGGAAGCUAGAGUAUGGGAGAGGAUGGUAGAAUUCCAGGUGUAGCGGUGAAAUGCGUAGAGAUCUGGAGGAAUACCGAUGGCGAAGGCAGCCAUCUGGCCUAAUACUGACGCUGAGGUACGAAAGCAUGGGGAGCAAACAGGAUUAGAUACCCGAGUAGUCCCUGUCUCUUAUAC
rnacentral:rRNA from 1 species